rnacentral:rRNA from 1 species
CAAAAACANGUNUUUUUGAGUUNUUUUUAAANUNUAACCNGCCCNANGAAAAAUUUUUAAUGGCCGCAGUAAUUUGACUGUGCAAAGGUAGCAUAAUAAUUAGUCUUUUAAUUGAAGGCUUGUAUGAAUGGUUGGACGAAGUAUAAUCUGUUUCAUUUAAAUUUAUUAUAGAAUUUUAUAUUUUAGUAAAAAAGCUAAAAUUUUUUUAAAAGACGAGAAGACCCUAUAAAUCUUUAUAAUUUAUAUUUAUUUUUUUUUUUUUGAUUUAUUUUAUUUUAAUAAUUUAAAUUAUUUUUUUGGGGUGAUAUUAAAAUUUAAAUAACUUUUAAUUUUUUUUUAACAUUAAUUUAUGAUUUAUUGAUCCAUUAAUAAUGAUUAAAAGAAUAAGUUACUUUAGGGAUAACAGCGUAAUUUUUUUGGAGAGUUCUUAUUGAUAAAAAAGUUUGCGACCUCGAUGUUGGAUUAAGAAAUAAUUUUAGGUGUAGUUGCUUAAANAANAAGNCNGUNCNACUUUUAAAUUCUUACANGANCNGAGUCCAANCCGGA